rnacentral:rRNA from 1 species
UACGUAGGGUCCGAGCGUUGUCCGGAAUUAUUGGGCGUAAAGAGCUCGUAGGCGGUCUGUCGCGUCUGCUGUGAAAACUCGGGGCUUAACCCCGGGCCUGCAGUGGGUACGGGCAGACUAGAGUGCGGUAGGGGAGACUGGAAUUCCUGGUGUAGCGGUGAAAUGCGCAGAUAUCAGGAGGAACACCGGUGGCGAAGGCGGGUCUCUGGGCCGUAACUGACGCUGAGGAGCGAAAGCGUGGGGAGCGAACAGG